rnacentral:lncRNA from 1 species
UGACCUUUUUGUUACCAGAGGGCUCUCGAAAGGGCAUGUGCAUCGAGGAGAUGGGACCUUUUGGGUCGUUGAAGAGUCUUCAGAAACUAUAAACGGAUUGUUCGGGUCUCAAUUUCAUGGUGGUGUUGUUCAAAACGACGAUGGAGGAAAUGCUCGCGCCGCCUGAGCUCAGUUAGUAGAUGAAUUGGCUCAACUUGCCCAUAACAAGGCCAAAACUAAUUCCGGGUUUUGGUUGCAGCUGGUGUUUCGGCAGCUCUCCAAGCCUUUCACUAAUGUAAUUCUGUAUGGCAAAGAGUGUGAUUUCAAGUCAACCCUUCAGGCUCCACGCAUUCCUCUGCAAUGGUGGCUACUGCAACAACGCUUGGACUUGAAAUGGGACUGUCGGAUUCAAUAUUUGGCUUGACUGUUGUUUAUGCAGGCGUUGUGAUUUAUGAUGCCCAGUGAUUUGAUAUACGACUUUUUGCUUGUUUUGAACAAGCAGUUAACAGAGAUGUCUCCACCAUCUUGACUGUUUUGCAAUUUGGAGGCAAUACAUGUGAAGUUUCUCGACCGGAAGACGAAGAUUUAUCUUUACUGUAAUAGUCCGUUUAUAUUGUUUUGACACACUUUCUUUAUGAACUUCGUAAGUAUUUUUUUUUUCUUCGGGUAUACAUUUACUUUUUGUCUUCUAUAAGAUGUAAAGAUCCAACAUCUUGAAGCAAGCUAGCUUUGCUGAGCAAGUAAAAGAAAUGCAUCACUUCAAGUUGACGACACAAACAAAUGUUAAAAAUUCCAAAUUUUACUAUAUUAGGUUUUCUGGCAAUCAAUUUAACCAUU